UAACUCCGCCGGCGACCGGCGCACGGGUGCGUAACGCGUAUGCAACCUACCUUUAACAAGGGGCAUAACACUGAGAAAUUGGUACUAAUUCCCCAUAACAUUCGAGAAGGCAUCUUCUUGGGUUAAAAACUCCGGUGGUUAAAGAUGGGCAUGCGUUGUAUUAGCUAGUUGGUGAGGUAACGGCUCACCAAGGCAACGAUACAUAGGGGGACUGAGAGGUUAACCCCCCACAUUGGACUGAGACACGGCCAA
rnacentral:rRNA from 1 species